rnacentral:lncRNA from 13 species
AUGAUUUUCCUCAGUGUCUGGCUCGGCGUGCUAGCCUAUGUUCCGACAGUAAUGUUGUGUGUUGGAACCACUGUGUCUGUGUGUGUGUGUGUGUGUGUGUGUGUGUGUGUGUGUGUGUGUGUGUGUGUGUGUGAAAGAGAUUGCUCUCUGCUUCCUAUAGUUUAUGGCACCUCUACAGCAUUUGGCCCACUAUGCCCUAGACUUCGCCUCCUCUGGGAGUCCUAUAGAGUCAUUUUCUCACUUUAUAGUUAUACACAGUUAUAUACACACACACACACACACACACAUUUGCAUUCUAUUCCAUGUUGCAUCACAGCGUACUGUACAGUUUAGUAUGGUGUAGGUGUAGGGAUAAAAAGAUGGCUUACAUGCACUGUGUGGAGGAUAUUUGUAAGUAUGCCCCAUGAUUGGUGGAGGCAGAUGCCCACGCAGUGUACUGUACAAUUUACAUAAUAUAACAUUCACUGCUGAAAGUCUGAAAUAGGCAUGGGUAAACAGUAUCCACAUGACAACUGUAUUUUCAGUACAACAGACCUUUUCUCCAGAGAGGUCCUGCAAAAGCCUACAUGGAGUGUGUGUGUGUGUUCACUGCUCACACACUUGAGCAGUUCCCCCAUCAUUCAAGCUGUCAUACGAGGCCUCAGGUGAAGUUCAGUAAAUAUCCGUCUGAACUUGUGGAAAUAUUCUGGCACAAUACUGGCUACAGUAGAAUGAUGACUGUUCCUUCCCUUGGGCUGAAAGUGUCAGAGAACUCAUUAGUGGACAGCUGGUGGGUUGGAAGGUCAAAUACAACUUGGUCUUCACACACCCAGUUAUUAGACUGCUAGCCGGACGGAUAAUGUUUGGAACGCGCUGUUUCUAACAGUUGUCUAGCAGCAGUUCACCCUUCAUGAAGAGUGUUAUAUUGUUUUCUAAUGACUAGAAGCCAGAGCAGUGAAAGCAGUGGAAUAACUUGGUGUCUCCUCUCCAAUGGCUGUAAAAUACCUGAACGCAGAGUGGGAUAAUCAUUAAAGAAUGGUGUGUAAUUUGCCUUCCUGUAUUCAUCUCAUAAUGUGGCUAAUGGCGUGUCUUUAAUGGCCCGGCAGUAACGCGUGGCGGAGUGUUUACUGCCGUGCCAAUUCAACUGCACGUCACAAGCUCUUUUGUCAUGUUCGUUUUGGUUACCCCCUCCUCUCUCCCUCGUCUCCUCUCUCUUCCCUCUGUCCUUCCUCCCUCUCAUCUCCCUCUACACUCCUUUCUUCCUCCCUGGCGUCUGUUGCCAUCCUCCCAUCCUGGAGACAGUACAGCCUCGUUGACAACGUGCUUUCAAUUCUGGUUCUAUCUUCUCAAGCAGCAUCAGAGAGAGCAGCUCUGCUAAACCUCAGUUUUGUAAAACAUUCAUNNNNNNNNNNNNNNNNNNNNNNNNNNNNNNNNNNNNNNNNNNNNNNNNNNNNNNNNNNNNNNNNNNNNNNNNNNNNNNNNNNNNNNNNNNNNNNNNNNNNNNNNNNNNNNNNNNNNNNNNNNNNNNNNNNNNNNNNNNNNNNNNNCUCUCCAGCUCUCUUUCUACCUCCAUCUCUCUCCUCCCCUCUUCUAUCCCAAAUGAGCUCAGUACCAACUCAUUCAUCUGGGAGUAAAGUUAGGCCUGUUUGACACAGAUACAGGUAACUUUAGACCUAUGUAACUAAUUCCAUAUUAAAACCUGAUGACAAAUGACAGUGACCAUGCAAUGAUCUUACAUAGGUCUACAUUAUUGUUCAAGCUAAAAUAAUCUUUGAGAUAUAUAUAUAAUAUCUCAAGCUAAAUGAAGCCAGAGGGAAACAGAAAGGUCAUAUUAAUAUCCUCCAUAAUCCAUGUCCUACAUUAGACUUAGUACACCAGCUGUCUGGCUCUUUCCCCACUGGAAGAGCCCUCCUCCCUCCCUGGAAGAGCCCUCCUCCCUCCCUGGAAGAGCCCUCCUCCCUCCCUGGAAGAGCCAGCCAACCCCCUGGAGUGUGCUGUGUGUGGACGGGCGGGAGACGCGGGUCGAGUCAUGUUGCUAUUGGCCCUUCAUUAACUACCGCGACCUCCUUUGUUGGCCAUCUUGCUAGCAUCACCUCUGGUAGGAGCUGUGUUGUUGUUGCUGUAGAGGGCAGAGGGUUAGUGCUUGGCCUUGCUGAAGUAGACUGUCUCUCUGAGAGGAGAGGAAGAGAGGAAAGAGAUGAGCGGAAAGGAAGAGGAAGGGAGGACAGCACUGAGAUCUCUUCCUGUCUCUCUUGAGAAUACAUCUCACUGAAUGAUAGUCUACCGUUUGUCUGCCGUUCAGUCGCUGACAGCGCAGUGUUUUUUGAAGGUGUCUGAGUGCCGGCAUUUUCGUCCAUUUCUACACGUAAAAUCGGUUCGCACUCGGUUGCCAAAUUACGGCCGGCACUUUGUUCAGAGACGCUAAGUACCAUCAGCUGGCAAUCGUGAACUGUGUUGCUGUUCUGGGCAGAUGGCAAGUGCUUGGCCCUGCUGGAGCAGAGGUCUCAGACUCUCUCUCUCUCAGCCCCUUGUCUUCUGUGUGUGUAGGGAAUUUGAUGUCUCUCUCUCCUCUCCCUCUGUUAUCUUCCUGUGUGUGUGCAGUGGUGGUUGAGUUGUUUGUAAUGGUGGUGACCCCCUGCCUGCUUUAAGACUGUUGUCCUGAUGAAAAUCUCUGUUCCACUGAUGACAUCACACUGAUUAAGCCCUAGCAUACUAAUGAGCCUCGCUCUGGGUGUCUGGCAGCUGCUGUAGCAGCCUCAAUUCAGAGACUAGACACACAGGGGCGAACACACACACACACACACAGGCGCAGACACACACAGGCGCACACUCAGGGGCGCAAACAAACAUACACACACACGGGCGCAGACACACACAGGCGCGCAAAUACACACACAAAUGACAUACACACAGAGCCGUGUACACACAACAUUCCAGUCACAGAGGCAAUGGAGACAAUUGGGUCUGCCUCCACACUGUUAGCUGGCUCAUUUGAAAACUGCUCUUUAAACCAGGAUAAUUGGUUUUGCAUGAAGGGGAAGGAUAAUGUUCAACCUUUGGUAAUAAAACCACACACACACACACACACACAGACAUAGAAAGAGAAAGACAGAGCGACAGAGAGAGAGAGAGAGAGAGAGAGAGAGAGAGAGAGCUAGCUAUUCUUGCAUGGCUUUGUUUCUCUUGUUGUCCAUGAAACCAAGAUGUCACUCAGGGACAACACCAGGGUGGCAGCCAUUUCCUGACUGUGAAUCAAUAACACUGACAUCAUGGUGCCAGGCUCUGGUCAAAAGUAGUGCACUAUAUAGGGAAUAGGGUACCAUUUGGGAUGUGGACACACCUACUCAUUCAAGGGUUUUUCUUUAUUUAUUAUUUUCUACAUUGUAGAAUAAUAGUGGAGACAUCAAAACUAUGAAAUAACACAUAUGGAAUCAUGUAGCAACCCAAAAACUGUUAAACAAAUCAAAAUAUAUUUUAGAUUUGAGAUUCUUCAAAUAGCCACCCUUUGCCUUGAUAACAGCUUUGCACACUCUUGGCAUUCUCUCAACCAGCUUCAUGAGGAAUGAUUUUCCAACAGUCUUGAAGGAGUUCCCACAUAUGCCGAGCACUUGUUGGCUGCUUUUCCUUCACUCUACGGUCGUACUCAUCCCAAACCAUCUCAAUUGGGUAGAGGUAGGGUGAUUGUGGAGGCCAGGUCAUCUGAUGCAGCACUUCAUCACUCUCCUUGGUCAAAUAGCCCUUACACAGCCUGGUGGUGUGUUGGGUCAUUGUCCUGUUGAAAAACAAAUGAUAGUCCCACUGAUGGGAUGGCAUAUUGCUGCAGAAUACUGUAGUAGUCAUGCUGGUUUAAUGUGCCUUGAAUUCUAAAUAAAUCAGACAGUGUCACCAGCAAAGAACCCCCACACCAUCACACCUCCUCCUCCAUGCUUCACGGUGGGAACCACACAUGUGGAGAUCAUCCAUUCACCUAUUCUGCGUCUCAUUGAGACACAGUGGUUGGAACCAAAAAUGUUAAAAUUUGGACUCAUCAGACCAAAAUGACAGAUUUCCACCAGUCUAAUGUCCUUCGGUCGUGUUUCUUGGCCCAAGCCAGUUUCUUCUUCUUAUUGGUGUCUUUUAGUGGUGGUUUCUUUGCAGCAAUUUGACCAUGAAGGACUGAUUCACGCAGUCUCCUCUGAACAGUUGAUGUUGAGAUGUGUCUGUUACUUGAGCACUGUGAAGCAUUUAUUUGGGCUGCAAUAUCUGAGGCUGGUCACUCUAAUGAACGUAUCCUCUGCAGCAGAGGUACCUCUGGGUCUUCCUUUCCUGUGGUGGUCCUAAUUAGAACCAGUUUCAUCAUAGCGCUUGAUGGUUUUUGUGACUGCACUUGAAAAAACUUUAAAAGUCCUUGAACUGUUCCGGAUUGACUGACCUUCAUGUCUUAAAGUAAUGAUGGACUCGUUUCUCUUUGCUUAUUUGAGCUGUUCUUGCCAUAAUAUGGAUUUGUUCUUUUACCAAAUAGGCCUAUCUUCUGUAUACCACCCCUAUCUUGUCACAACACAACUAAUUGUCUCAAAUGCAUUAAGAAGGAAAAAAUGACAACAAAUGUCAUUUUAACAAAGGCACACCUGUUAAUUGAAAUGCAUUUCAGGUGACUACCUCAUGAAACUGGUUUAGAGAAUGCCAAGAGAGUGCAGAGCGGUCAUCAAGACAAAGGGUGGUUACUUUGAAGAAUCUAAAAUAUAUUUUGAUUUCUUUAACACUUUUUUGGUUCCUACAUGAUUCCAUGUGUUAUUUCAUAGUUUUGAUGUCUUCACUAUUAUUCUACAAUGUAGAAAAUAGCUAAAAUAAAGAAAAACCCUUCAAUAUUUAAGUGUAUCCAAACAUUUGACUGGUACUGUACAUUCACAGUCAGCUAGGCUUUGGCAGAUGUCCCCUGGACAACCUUACCCACCAUGACAUAAGAUUAGGGAUGCACAAUAUAUCUGUGAGCAUAUCGGAAUCAGACGAUAUUAGCUAAAAUGCCAACAUCGGCAUCGGCCCUGAUGUCUAGUUUAACGCUGAUGUGCAAAAUUGAUGUCAAAGCUGACGUGCAUACCUAUAUAACGUAGGUAGAUGGCGUGCAUACCUAUAUAACGUAGGUAGAUGACGUGCAUACCUAUAUAACGUAGGUAGAUGACGUGCAUACCUAUAU